rnacentral:lncRNA from 1 species
CUUCUCUCAAUUUCUCCCUAGCCUAUCAAAACCCUAAUCGCCUCCAUCGUCCUCUCCGACCAAUCUCACCAGGGUCCAUGACUUCUCAGGAAAUGGACAGCCUGUACUCACCUUCCUUCACUCCUAAACCAUGAGUGUUCAAGAUUUUGAGGUCUGACUUCUAUGGCGUCCGUUCAUAUCAUGUGUAGAUCUGUGUUCCUAUGGCCUCUCCGGCUCUGCUCCAGCAUAUUCGAGCUCUAGGAGCCUAACUAUGGCCAUCUCCGACUCGAGACCAGACUUUCUUCCAAGCCUUCUCAUUUCUAGGGUUCUAGAGAAAUCCUAAAGCUAGUCGAGAUUCCUUCCUACUUUAUUUACCUAGAUCUGUGGUGAAUUUGUGCUAUAUUUAAUGUUUAAAGCUUUUCCCCAAUUUUCCUUUCAAAAUUAGUCUGUUUAAAUUUGGGGUUUUCAAAAAAUCUUGAACGACUUCUGACUCUUCUUCUUCCUCUUUUCUUUGUGUGAAUCUGUCUAUGCCAUGUUCUUAUGUUCUUUCCUCACAUGUCUACUCCCGUGUUCUUAUGUUUUUUCAUGUUAUCCAUGUUCUUCUAUUUUAUGUUCUGUUCUUCCCUUUAUUGGGUUCUAUAAGCAUGCUUUGCAUGUCUAUCUCGUAUGUUUCUUUAUUGUAUUUUUACUAAGAUUUUAAUCCUUGUUUGCCUUUACUGGACCUUUGUUUGAACUCUAAGCAUGCUCAUCUACUGUUUCCUAAGUUAUACAUGACCUCUUUUCUCUUCUAAAAAACUUGCUUAAAUUCCGAAUUUUCGUUAAAACAUGUUCUUUAUGUUUUUUCACUCUGUUGCCUCAAACUUGCUACUGUGUCUGUGUGUUUGCUCGUGAGGCUUUCAAAGAGACCUCCGAGUCUAUUUCAAUGGCUUACCUUCUCCUCUCUGUAUCACACUCGAAUUGGAAACCCUAUGAUUUGGGGUUUUGGCAAGUUUUGAUCUUGUGCUUGGAUUAGGGUUCUAUUUCAGAGCCCUGGGCUCUCUCAAAC